GGUUCUCCUGCACCCAACGGGCCCUUUUGCCCCAACUAGGUGGCUCAAAAUGGAGCCUCUGACACAGAAAUGGGAGGAGGGAGGAGAGUGCAGAGCCAGAGACCCUACAGAAGCAGAGGUCUGCAGCAGCUAGAGAGGGCUGAGUCCUGCUGAGCCCCUGCUUUGCAUGGUGCACUUGCCAGGCAGCCACUCACAAAGCGUGUUGCUGGCAGGGACAUGCCAGACCAAGUCUCCUGGCACCAUCCUUGGCCACACUCAAGGAACACAGUUACCCCUGAUGCUCCUGGCCUCUCCCCGAGCAGCCUUCAGGCCCCCCUGACUCACGACAGGCCCCUGCCCAGCAGGUACAAGUGAAACUGGUGCUGGACCUGGGCUGCCUCCCACCCCGGUGCCUGGCCUUUGGCCCCAAGGUGGCCUCCCAGGCUUAGCACCACCAGCAGCAGCGACAGGCCACUGUCCAGUGAGGCCCAGUGAACCACUGAAGAGCCGCCUCUACCCAGGCAUCCCGCCUCCCACCACUGCCCUCUCUAGGGCAUCUGCAUUGAAGGACAGCACAGCCUUCUGCCAGUCUGACCAGCCCAGGCUACAAGGCUGAUGCAGCUCAGGACCAUGCUCCUGCAGGCUCUCCCAGCUGCUGCCAGCACAUCCUGGGCUACUAAUGUAUCAUGGACCAGAACUGGGGAACAACACAGUCAGCUGGCCAUGGUGCCAGCUACUGCUGAGCUGUCAAACCAUACGCUGUCCCAGGGGCCACCUGCCUAGAGGCCAGCACUGCACUGGACCCUCAAACACAGCUUGUGCAGCCUGAUUAGGAGCUUGGGAAACGACUGUCAUCUGUGAUCUUGCUGGUCCCACAAAGCCCAUUUAACAGAUGAGGAAGCUGAGGCCCAAAGGCAUGAGGUGAUCUCUCCCGGCCUCACCAAGAGCACUGGAGGGUGACGUAGGGCUGGAGUCGUGCCCACAGAGAACACAGCAGCAGGAGGGCUCCUGGGCCUCCACUCGCCUCCCUCAGACGCCUCCCAGAGUGACAGGAAGGUCAGAGGCCCUGGGGAGGGGCCAGGAUCUGGCAAUUUCCUGUCCCUCUCUGUUGGCCCUGUGCAUCUAAUUAAUCCUUGAGUCAUCUGUUGCUAACCAGGAGGGGAAAUUAAAUAUUAAUAAUGUAAUGCUCUGUGACGGCCCCUCGUUGGGGACAGGGCAGAGGGCAGACGCUGUCCCAUAUAAACAGGGGACUCGUUGCGGAACGUGCAUAAUGCCUUUGGAAAGAACAACCCCAUAGGAUUCCAUACCGUCAGACUCAAAGCUGCUGCUGCUUCCCUUCCUCACCUCCCCCAACCCGGACACUUUAAUUAAAACUCCAUUUAAUCAAAA